rnacentral:rRNA from 1 species
CCUACGGGAGGCAGCAGUGGGGAAUAUUGCACAAUGGGGGAAACCCUGAUGCAGCGACGCCGCGUGAGUGAAGAAGUAUUUCGGUAUGUAAAGCUCUAUCAGCAGGGAAGAAGCAAGACGGUACCUGACUAAGAAGCCCCGGCUAACUACGUGCCAACAGCCGCGGUAAUACGUAGGGGGCAAGCGUUAUCCGGAUUUACUGGGUGUAAAGGGAGCGUAGACGGUAUGGCAAGUCUGAAGUGAAAGCCCAGGGCUUAACCCUGGGACUGCUUUGGAAACUGUUAGACUGGAGUGCUGGAGAGGUAAGUGGAAUUCCUAGUGUAGCGGUGAAAUGCGUAGAUAUUAGGAGGAACACCAGUGGCGAAGGCGGCUUACUGGACAGUAACUGACGUUGAGGCUCGAAAGCGUGGGGAGCAAACAGGAUUAGAUACCCGAGUAGUC